UACGGAGGGUGCGAGCGUCGUCCGGAAUCACUGGGCGUAAAGGGCGCGUAGGUGGCGCGGGCAGUCAACGGUGAAAGUUCGGGGCUCAACCCUGAAUCGGCCGUCGAUACUCCCGGGCUUGAGCACUGUAGAGGCAGAUGGAAUUCCGGGUGUAGCGGUGGAAUGCGUAGAGAUCCGGAAGAACACCGGUGGCGAAGGCGGUUAGCUGGGCAGUUGCUGACACUGAGGCGCGACAGCGUGGGGAGCAAACAGG
rnacentral:rRNA from 1 species